GACGAACCGAGCGAACGUUGUUCGGAAUCACUGGGCUUAAAGGGCGCGUAGGCGGGCCGUCAAGUCCGUGGUGAAAUCCUCCAGCUCAACUGGAGAAGUGCCUCGGAUACUGGCGGCCUCGAGGGGGGUAGGGGCGUGCGGAACUUCCGGUGGAGCGGUGAAAUGCGUAGAUAUCGGAAGGAACACCGGUGGCGAAAGCGGCGCGCUGGACCCCUUCUGACGCUGAGGCGCGAAAGCCAGGGGAGCAAACGGG
rnacentral:rRNA from 1 species